rnacentral:tRNA from 1 species
GGGCUAUUAGCUCAGCUGGUCAGAGCGCACCCCUGAUAAGGGUGAGGUCCCUGGUUCGAGUCCGGGAUGGCCCA